AUUGAACGCUGGCGGCAGGCCUAACACAUGCAAGUCGAGCGAGUGGCGGACGGGGGGGUAAUGUCUGGGACACUGCCUGAUGGAGGGGGAUAACUAAUGGAAACGGUAGCUCAUACCGCAUACCAUCGGAUGUGCCCAGAUGGGAUUGGCUAGUAGGUGGGGUAAAGGCUCACCUAGGGGACGAUCCCUAGCUGGUCUGAGAGGAUGACCAGCCCAACUGGAACUGGAACACGGUCCAGACUCCUAGGGGAGGCAGCAGUGGGGAAUAUUGCACAAUGGGCGCAAGCCGGAGGCAGCCAUGCCGCGGGUAGGAAGAAGGCCUUCGGUUUGUAAAGUACUUUCAGCGGGGAGGCGUUACCCGCAGAAGAAGCACCGGCUAACUCCGUGCCAGCAGCCGCGGUAAUAC
rnacentral:rRNA from 1 species